rnacentral:rRNA from 1 species
GACGAACGCUGGCGGCGUGCCUAAUACAUGCAAGUCGAACGCAGUGGGGACGGGUGAGUAACCCGUGGGUAACCUCCCAUCAGAGGGGAUAACACUUGGAAACAGCUGCUAAACCGAUACUGAUGGAUGGACCCGCGGUGCAUUAGCUAGUUGGUGAGGUAACGGCGCACCAAGGCCACGAUGCAUAGCCGGCCUGUGAGGGUGGUCGGCGAGACUGGGACUGAGACACGGCCGAGACGCCUAAGGGAGGUAGCAGUAGGGGAUCUUCGGCAAUGGGCGAAAGUCUGACCGAGCAACGCCGCGUGAGUGAAGAGGGGGUUCGAAUCGUAAAGCUCUGUUGUUUGAGAAGCGGGAUCUAACCAGAAAGCCGCGGCUAACUACGUUCCAGCAGCCGCGGGAAAUUC